CAAAGUAUAGCUUAAACUUAAAGCAUUUCGCUUACACCGAAACUAUGUUUGUGAAAGCCAAACUUCUUUGAG
rnacentral:tRNA from 1 species